rnacentral:rRNA from 1 species
UGUUUUGAAAGAUUUCUUCGGAAUGAAUUUGAUUUAGUUUAGUGGCGGACGGGUGAGUAACGCGUGAGUAACCUGCCUUCAAGAGGGGGAUAACAUUCUGAAAAGAAUGCUAAUACCGCAUGACAUAUCGGAACCACAUGGUUCUGAUAUCAAAGAUUUUAUCGCUUGAAGAUGGACUCGCGUCCGAUUAGUUAGUUGGUGAGGUAACGGCUCACCAAGACCGCGAUCGGUAGCCGGACUGAGAGGUUGAACGGCCACAUUGGGACUGAGACACGGCCCAGACUCCUACGGGAGGCAGCAGUGGGGGAUAUUGCGCAAUGGGGGCAACCCUGACGCAGCAACGCCGCGUGAAGGAUGAAGGUUUUCGGAUUGUAAACUUCUUUUAUUAAGGACGAAAAAUGACGGUACUUAAUGAAUAAGCUCCGGCUAACUACGUGCCAGCAGCCGCGGUAAUACGUAGGGAGCAAGCGUUGUCCGGAUUUACUGGGUGUAAAGGGUGCGUAGGCGGCUUUGCAAGUCAGAUGUGAAAUCUAUGGGCUCAACCCAUAAACUGCAUUUGAAACUGUAGAGCUUGAGUGAAGUAGAGGCAGGCGGAAUUCCCCGUGUAGCGGUGAAAUGCGUAGAGAUGGGGAGGAACACCAGUGGCGAAGGCGGCCUGCUGA